GGAUGUGAGGACGAUCUGGCUGCGACAUCUACCAAACCAUUGAUUGCCAGGGUUGAUACGGCUGAUCUGGCUGACUAGAUGUGUGUCUCCCUCACUGCUCCAUGUGCAUUCCUCCUGAAGAAGCUGCAUGCUCGGUCUGUCCAGCCUUCCCUGAAUAGAGACAAUUGGUCUUCAGUCGAGGGUAUAAGAGUAGCUACACUUCCCUGCUAGAACCUCCAAACAAGCUCUCAAGACAUGCAUUCUUUUUUGUCUCCAGGGUUAUUGCUGGGGCUUGGUGCCUGCACUACUUUUGUUGUUGUAAGACAUGCAUUCUUAACACUGACC
ensembl:misc_RNA 7SK 7SK RNA